AUUCAUAACAUCAACCUCGCAAGCCAGGCUCUCUACUUCCGCUAAUUCCCUCCCAAACACGCUCCAGCAUGUUUGGGAGGGAAGCGGAAUUAGAGAACCUGGCUUGCGAGGUUGACAUAACAU